AUACGUAGGGGGCGAGCGUUGUCCGGAAUGAUUGGGCGUAAAGGGCGCGUAGGCGGCUUUGCAAGUCAGUAGUGGAAGUCCAUUUUUCAAGGAUGGAAGUGCUACAGAAACUGCGGAGCUUGAGUGCAGGAGAGGUUAUCGGAAUUCCCGGUGUAGCGGUGAAAUGCGUAGAGAUCGGGAGGAACACCAGUGGCGAAGGCGGGUAACUGGACUGCAACUGACUCUGAGGCGCGAAAGUGUGGGGAGCAAACAGGAUUAGAUACCCUGGUAGUCCACACUGUAAACGAUGAAUGCUAGGUGUAGUAGGUAUCGCCCCCUUCUGUGCCGCAGUAAACACAGUAAGCAUUCCGCCUGGGGAGUACGGUCGCAAGAUUAAAACUCAAAUUAAUGGACGGGG
rnacentral:rRNA from 1 species